UGAAUCUGAAUCUUAAUCUGAAUUUACAUUUUCAACCAAAUCAUAUAUGAUCCAGCAUCGAUCCCUGUUGGACUUUACUGCUCAAAGACCUCCAGUCAGAAUAACACCUUUCCAACACUGUACUCAGUUUUUGAAUCCAAUCUACCAAAUCAAGGAUCCCAUGUGCCUUAAUCUUUUGGAUGUGUCUAUCAUGAAGUAGCUUGUGAAAUACUUCAGUAAACUCCUUGUAUAAAAAAUCCACUGCCUUUCCCUCAUCAAUCAUCCUCAAAAUAUUCAAUUUAAGCCCUGAUGAUUAUCCCAAGUAAGUCUACGACUUUCCAGAUGUAAGUAAAUCCUGUCCAAGAAUCUUCUCCAAUAAUUUCUCCAUCCCUGAUGUACGGCUCAAUGGCUAUUGUCCAGUCCUCUCAGACCACAUCUGUUGCUACAGAGGAUCAAAGAUCUCUGUCAGGGCAGCAAUUUCCUCUCUUCCCUCCAUCAAUAACUUGGGGUAGGUCCAAUCAGUCCCUGGGGACAUCCACUUUAAUGUACUUCCUGCUGAUACCUCACUCCCGAGCUUGCUGUCCUUCUCUUUGCUGGAUAUCAAUGCAAAAUACUAAUUUAAUACUUCACCCGCUUCUUCAGGAGUAAUAAUAUUUUGCUGCAAUUGUAUAGAGACUUAGUGAGAUUACACAGAGAAUACCAUGAAGCGGUUUUUAGCUCCUUGACCCAAAAAGGAAGGACUUACAAUGGACUAGUGUACAGUAAAGAGUCAUUAGACUGACUUCUUGGGAGAUGGUUCCUUUAUAUGAAGAGGAAUUGAACAGUCGAGGCCUCUAUCCUGUUAGAGUUGAUAAGAUUGUGACAUGACAGCAUUGAAAUAUGAUCAAUUCUUGGAAGGCUCAACAGGGUAGAUGCUGGAGAAUAUUUACCCUCGUUGUGGAAUCUAGAACAAGAAGUCAGAGUCUCAAAUUAAGGAGUCUAAAAUAAAACAAAAUGUCUUCACUCAAAGGAAGGUGAAACUUUUGAAUUCUGUACAGGAGGACUUUUGGGCCCUUGCCAUUGAUUGCAUUCAAAGUAUAGAUUGCUAGAUUGCUAGAUAUUAACGGAAUCAAGAGAUAGGAGGGCAGAGAAGGAAAAUGGUAUUCAAACCAUGGUUGUUUUGGAUGGUGGAGCAGGCUCAUUGGGGUGAAUGGCCUUCCCUUGCUCCUAUUGCUUAUGUUGUUACCUUCUUAAAACUUUAUAAUUUGUGCCAUAGUAGAGAUUCUGGAUUAGUCUUUAAACUCUUCUCCAAUAAACACAACCUUGCACCACUCACACUCUCUGAUUUAAAUUAUUUUACUCAUGAGAAAGACUGCCUAAGUUAUUCAAACAUGUAGUUUAUUUUGGCUAAUGUUCCUUUGGCAACGAAGAAACAACUUCCUGAGAGCACUCUUUGCUCCAUGCUAUAUGUACGAUGAUCAUUUCAUGUGAAAGACAAUCUCAGAAGCAAGCAUUGAGUGGACAAAGAGUUUUAAAAAAAUUAAGUGCUGAAUAUGGCACUUCAUCGAAAGAAGGACAGCUUUGGUAUGGUCUUCCACAAGGCCAAUGAUUGAUAUCUUCCAUUUGCUUAUGUCACAAAGACUGGCUUUUUGCAUUCACAUUUAAUCAGCUGGUGACCUUUAGCAUGUGCAGCAAAGUUACUCUGGUAAGCCAGUACCUGUUUUAGUUGUUUUAGGCAUGAAACCAAGGACUGCAGAUAUUUAAGCUGCCUUCUCAAAUGCAAGAUGCCAAAAAUCACUUAUCCAAUGUCAAGAGUUCAGCUUUGCAGCCUGUGAUGUCACCCGAGCCCCUUCAAUGGGCAGCAGCCUUGUAACUCGCUCCUACAUGUUACCAGUGAAAAGUCGAGCCUGUCACUUGAACCAACAUGACCUUUUGAAUCUAUAGUGCACGUGUAACAAAGGAGGACAAACUGACCAAGUUACACAAGAAGCAAAGUUAAAAUGGUUGCUCACACAUGUGUCCCAGACUUUACUGGAAUCCCGGGCCAGAGCCGAGAAAGUGAAGACAGAUGAAAAUUUCAUGAGACCAAAAGAUGAGAGUUUGCAGGAAGGUGUGAAAAACACUAUGAUUUUGAGAGAGAAAUAAUGAAUCUUUUAAACUAUUAAACCGCGGUCAAUCAUGAUGUAUAAAUUGCAAUAAGAGUCACAGACUAAGAGUUAUAGAGUCAUAAAGACACAAUAAUAAUUGCAAAACUCAAAAUAAUGUUUAUUACAGAUUUUUCUCACAAGCUUAUUUUUAAGUAUGACACAAAAGAUAUUUGGAUGCACAGAGUGGCUACUAAUUGUUGCAUUGCUUGUCAAGGUAAUAAAAAAUGUAAUAGUGUGUAGAAUGUUUAAUUAUCGGUUUGAGUCAGUUCACCAUAUGAGUAAUAUCACACCAACUCACCACACUCAUUUAGCAUGCCUGGAUUUCCUUUUCAGAUGAAAGCUGUGCUCUAAUACUAAUACAUCACUUUAUUUAAUAUUAUAAAUACUGUGUGUAUGAAGGUCAUGAUCCACCAUACAUUGGAACGUAUGAAUAAGAUUACAGAUUGAGCAAUUAUCAAUCAACGUUUAA